UGGGCUUAAGUGACUUUGUUUAACAAGUUGGACUUGGCCCAACCUAAUCAUUAAUGGCCUAUUAUGCGACUUAUUAAACCAGUUAAUCUUCUUCCCGCUUUGGAGACGAACGGAGUUCACUUCCGGCCAUCGUGUCGUCGUCGCCGAUUCAUCCCGGUUAUUGAUUUGUGUCAUUAUACCAGUUGGCCAGUCCUAGAGCUGAUGCUACCCCUAAAUUACACAAACCCAACUCUGUUUAUCAUCAUCAUCUUCUUCAUCUUUUCAUGAAAUCUCUUCCUCUCUCAUCUCAUGGGUGUCGGUUUCACGGAUUGGUGGAGAAAUAGCAGCUGUUGGUUGAAACUAAAAAGGUAGGGUUUUGAAUAGCUGGAGAAUUGAGAGGUUUGUGAUGAGAAUGAGGGGAUGAAAUUAGGGUUUAGAGAGUACACGAGAAAGCAUCCACACACGCAUCCCUAUAGAUAGAUAUGGAGUAAGGACGAAAGCUGGUAAGAAGCAAUCAUCGGAAGAUGCUGGUGUCAAAAUUGCACAUUCUGCAGGUACUUCAAUGAGCUUGCCUUAAAUAAGGUAUGUUUUAACAUACAUAUUAAUUUUGAUUUUUUAUGAAAAUCAAAAUAUAUUCAUAUCAAUUCCAAUUUUGGAAAUUGUUGUUUUGACCUUUAUAGUCAAAGUGGGACAGGUAAAAGAGCUUUGUUCACCUCACUGAGCGGUGGAUACAGUUAGACUAUGAUUUGUAACGCCAGUAUGUAGAGGUUACCUAAUUUGAUGCUGAUUAUAUUAAACGGACAUUUGAAAUUUAGUGACGUUAUAUGACUGGGUUAUUAAAUUACUGUUCAUUCUUAUGCUGUCAGUUUACUGUGUUUAUGAUGUUCUAUCAAACUCUGCAUUUUGAUAUAAGAUUCUUGAACUCUGUUAUGCAUUUUGAUCUAGCUCAUUGUAUGGUUUGGUAUAAGAUAGACACGCUUGUGUAUCCAUUACGUGUAUCCAUGAGCGGCCCCACCUUAUAGAUGUAUGUACAUGACGUUGGAGUGACGCUGUAUAUUUUCAGGCAACAACACCUACAUUCAAUCACAGUAAACUUGAAUCACCGGAAGCUUGUAGGCUUUACGUCACAAACUUGAUGCAUAGUUACUUCUUUUGAAUUUUCCCAAGUAUUUGAAGAAGCUGAUAACUCAAUGAAGGUGAUUAUUAUCACUUGUUUUGUUCUGAAGCAAACAUAUCUCAUGCAUUCACAUUUUGUAAGAAUGUCAUGAUUACCUGGCCAUGCAAGAUGCUUAUGCCUAGUGAUUAGCAUAGCAGCACUCUGGAUUUUGGAAGGUUAUAUCGUCCCCCGUUGAUGCAGUGACAGAUACAUAUGGAACAUUUCUACCUGAUGGAACAGCUUUACAGUUUCAGCAGAUUCUGAGCUUAAGUGUUUUAGAGGUGCCAAAAUGGGUUGGUUGGACGGGUUGAAAUUUGAAUAACAGGUCAAAAUAAGUAAACUUUGUACUGGUCAAACAUGUCGUGUACUGGGUUGACCCAAAAAUACUUUAUGUCAAACAUUUUAAAUUGAGAUUUAAAUGGAGCAAUUUUACGAAAUAAAUCCACAUCCAAGCUAUCAUAGACAACUUUUGACCCGUUCCAGCCAUUUUCAAUUUAAUUACCCAUUUGACCAUUUAUUGGUCAUGUAUGUACUAACCGGUUUAUUGGUUCAAAUUAUAUAUAUGUAUGUGUAUGUCUCUGUUUUGAACCUAAUAAAUCCGAUUUGGGGGUAGUAGUCAGGGCAAAAGCUGGUAAGAAGCAAUCGUCAGAAGAUGCUGGUGGCAAAAUUGCACGUUCUGCAGGAGCUUCAAUGAGCACUAAACCCACAAGGUGAUGGUAACUUUAACUCACAUGCAACACGAGAAAAAAUGUGGUGGUUUGCCUUUGGCUAUAAAGGCAAUCGGAAGGCUACUGAGAACGAAAACAGAUGGAGAAGAUUGGGAUGACCUGUUGAAUAGUGAGAUAUGGGAUCUAGAAAAUGCAAAUGAAAUUGUUCCAACCCUUAGGCUAAGCUACCGUGAUGAUGAUGAGGACAAUUGAAACGCUUUAAAGGUGGAUGAAGCCAAUGUUGUUCAAAGUAAACAAACACACAGGUGCUGCUGGAGUAGAAGCUGCAGCAGGGCUAAUGAAUGCCAACGUUGCUCAUAAAGAGGCUUCCGAAGGUUUGGUUUUAUACUGUCAUGGAACUUAUACCCAUGGCAUGCUAAAGGAUCUUCAAGACCAGUAUUGAGAAAGAUUUAAUUUAGCAGUGUAAUAGACAGCAAAAUGGAGUAAACGGUCACAUAUGUUCAUUGAAUCAGCAUUUUAAUAACAAUCAAAGUCUUAAGUGUCAUCGCCAUUUGUUGACCCGUUUUCCCCUGUGAAGCUACCAGAUAACUGGGAGAAUACACCCCUUAGCCAUUAUAGUUGGUCCUACGGGACGUGACAUGGUGGUUGUGGGCUUGAUCUCUUAAAGGGUGGUUUUGUUCCAACGGUGGAAAUAGAAGGCGGUGGGUGGUGGUUGAUGUGGGCGGUAACGGAGCGAGAGACAGUGAGGUAGCGACCGGAUAUGGCUGACGCCCGCGGGGAGGGAUUUAUCGGAGAUGGUGAGGGGUGGUCGCUGGUCUUUAGUCUUUAUGUCAUUGCAUCUAAAUAUUUUUAAAGGUUGCAAAUAGUCCCUAACAAGAUAUAAAGUUGUAUCUUAUUAUUGCAAUAAAAUUUAACCUUAUUCUUA